UCACUGAUGUACUUAAUGAUCUAGAAAUUUAUCAAAGUCUGUUAAGUGUUGGUCAACUAGUUGAGAGAGGCUUCAAAGUGAAGGGAACAGCUUCACUCUUAAUCCACUCGAAGAGGAGAAAGCAGUUUUUCUAAUAAAAGAAAAUGUCACAAAGGUUUGACAUAAGAGACUCGUGCAUUAUCAUCGUCAAGUUUUGUUGCAAAUGAAAGUAAAACAAAUUGUAAGUGAUCUAUCCUAGUUUGAUGAUCACUUACCAAACUGCAAGGGAUGUAAGAAGCUACAAUCGAUUCAUACAAACAUUGUAGGCCCACAAAGAAUGAUUUCUUUGAAAGGUAGUCUCUAUUAUGCAGUAUUCAUUGAUGAUAUCUCCCGUAUGUGCUGGAUUUUCUUUUUGAAGCACAAGUAAGAGGUAGCUCAGGUCUUCUGGAACUUUAAAGCCAAAGUUGAGAUUGAGAGUGGCUAUAGAAUUAAAACACUUAGAUUAGACAAUGGCAAGGAGUAUACCUCUAAAUUAUUGAACCAAUUUUGCGAGAAGGGAGGCAUCCAGCAUCAAUUAACCGUUCCAAACACCCCGUAACAAAAUGGAGUAAUUCAGAGAAGGAACAUAUUCAUAUUGGAGAUAACACGAUGUAUGCUACAUUAGAAGAACCUACCAAAGUGGUUCUCGGCUGAAGCAGCAAACACCUUUUUUUUUCAGCAAAAUAGGCUACUCAAAAAAGUUUGAAGAGUCGAACACCGUUUGUGGCUUGGUAUGGAAGCAAACUAUCUUUGAACUUCCUUAUAUUUAAUGCAAAAAAUUGACUUUGAGGGGAUGAGAACAACUAUCCAUGUUUGAUUGUAAUGAAGAGCUUGAAGCUCUUCUUUCAUGUCAUUGACUCCAAGCUGAAUUUUGAGGGUUGUUU
rnacentral:lncRNA from 1 species